UGCCUUUUAGGUGCCUUCUGGAUUUAAAAACAUUUCCAUAAAGUGGAGAUGCUCAGGUGCCUUUCCCUUCCAUGCCCUGGCAGUGAUACAGCAGGAGCUCUUGGCACCUGGAGACUCUGCUUUCACAACUGCUGCAAGAGUCAGCUUUGACCUGGCUGGGUGCUCACCUGCAUUAUUUCAGAUGUGACCAUGGAAAUUCCACAGGGAAAGCAACCCUAGGGAAGAAGGUCUUGCUGGCUUCAUGUCUAAAAACAAAAUAAAAAUCAAGGCAAGGUGAGUUUGUGGUCUUUCCUCCUGGGAGAUGCUAUCAGGACAAGCUGCGAAGUGGGAUGUCUGAAACAGAUCAAGACGAUUUUCUAAACACCAGUACACAACAACACUGAAUAUGGACAAAGUGCAUUUUGUGAUGUGGCACUGUUGAGCAUGAGCCUGCUGGCAUUCAGGAGCUCAGAGCUGAUCUGCUGGGGAAAUCCUUUACCAACAGCACUGCUGUCCUUGUGGCCUUUGCAUAAAGGAACUGUCCUAUGUAUUAGAAUGCAGUGUGUUGAAUUAGGGGUGAAGGCAGUCCCAGGAAAGAGGAUUAUGAACUGGGAGCUCCCUGGCUGUCUCCAGUGAGUAUCUGCACACCUGGUCUGCAGGACAGCAGGUAAAGCAAAAGGAAGAAGGAAGGGAAAUAUUCUCUGGUAAUUCAGGAAGAGGAGAGCGGCAGAAGGAGCCCCAUGCACCUUUCAGCAGAACAGUUGUGAGCUGUAGGUGUGAAUCCCACAGCAGCCCGUUGUCAUUAAGCAUCCUGUAAGGUGAGGAGGGGGGUAAGCACUGCAAUAAGCUCAUCAGCAGCAUCUGAACCAACUCUUGGCCCCCUCUGGAUACCCUUUGGAAAUCUUCAGCGUGUUUUGUGUUUGUUUAGGAGCCAGAAACAAAUGCUGGCAGAUGCAAAGGUGUGAA